GACGAACGCUGGCGGCGUGCCUAAUACAUGCAAGUCGUGCGGAGCUUUUAAAAGCUUGCUUUUAAAAGGUUUGAGGGGGAAGGGUGAGUAACACGUGGGCAACCUGCCUGUAAGACUGGGAUAAAGCCGGGAAACCGUGGCCAAUACCGGAUCGUUUUUCCUCCGCAUGGAGGACAAAGGAAAGGCGGCUUCGGCUGCCAUUGACAGCUGGGCCCGCGGCGAAUUAGCUAGUUGGCGGGGUAACGGCCCACCAAGGCAACGGUGCGUAGCCGAACUGAGAGGAUGAUCGGCCACAUUGGGACUGGGACACGGCCCAAACUCCUACGGAAGGCAGCAGUAGGGAAUCUCCCGCAAUGGCCGAAAGUCUGACGGAGCAACGCCGCGUGAGUGCAGAAGGCCUUCGGGUCGUAAAACUCUGUUGCCGGGGAAGAACAAGUGCCGUUCGAACAGGGCGGCGCCUUGACGGUACCCGGCCAGAAAGCCACGGCUAACUACGUG
rnacentral:rRNA from 1 species